rnacentral:rRNA from 1 species
AUUGAACGCUGGCGGCAGGCCUAACACAUGCAAGUCGAGCGGAUGAGGGGUGCUUGCACCCUGAUCCAGCGGCGGACGGGUGAGUAAUGCCUAGGAAUCUGCCCGAUAGUGGGGGACAACGUUUCGAAAGGAACGCUAAUACCGCAUACGUCCUACGGGAGAAAGUGGGGGCUCUUCGGACCUCACGCUAUCGGAUGAACCUAGGUCGGAUUAGCUAGUUGGUGGGGUAAAGGCUCACCAAGGCGACGAUCCGUAACUGGUCUGAGAGGAUGAUCAGUCACACUGGAACUGAGACACGGUCCAGACUCCUACGGGAGGCAGCAGUGGGGAAUAUUGGACAAUGGGCGAAAGCCUGAUCCAGCCAUGCCGCGUGUGUGAAGAAGGUCUUCGGAUUGUAAAGCACUUUAAGUCGGGAGGAAGGGCUGUAGGUUAAUACCUUGCAGCCUUGACGUUACCGACAGAAUAAGCACCGGCUAACUUCGUGCCAGCCGCCGCGGUAACAC